GCGCUCGCUUCAGCAGCACAUGUACUAAAAGUGGAACGCUACAGAGAUUAGCAUGCCCCCUGUGCAAGGAUGACAUGCAGCCUUGUGAAGUGUUCCAUAUUUUU
ensembl:snRNA U6 U6 spliceosomal RNA